AAGUAGCUUUUGCACAAAGAUUUCACAAGGCAAAGAGCUGCAAAAAAAAAUGUCUGCUCUCAUUUCGGAUGGAUGACAUGUAAAUCAGAAAGAAGGUGCUCUGUCCCGGGAAGGUCGGGCUUUAUUUGUAAGUUUCUGUCAUUCUGCUGCUUUUGUUCAGAGAUGCCCUGCCCAGUGAGGAGGUAGCCUAGUCACAGUCUGCCAGAAAACAAGAGAAGAGACAAUAAUAUGAUGAAAGAGGAGCCUUUUAUAAAGUCAUGAGCCCUUACUAAAGCCUGCAGCCCUUCCCAGGUAGACAGUUCUUGUUGUUGUUGUUAUUUUCCCCCUUUUCAAUAAGAAUUAUUUAUUAAGAGAUUUAUUUACACUGACACAAACUGCCAGAUUUGCAUCUCUCCUCAUUUGAUUAAUCUUGCCUCUUUAGAUUGGAGGUUAGUUUUUACUCUCCAACAGCUAGUUUUCCUUAAACACAAGAAUAGGACCUAGCUAUAUGCAAAUCUAGCUAGUCAACAGCAGAGUGGACACUGAUUAAAUACAAGAGAUGCUAAUCACAAUGACUUUUAAAGUUACAGAGACAGACAUUAUCCUUGUUAGUGUCCUAACAAUUCCAG
rnacentral:lncRNA from 13 species